AACGAACGCUGGCGGCAGGCUUAACACAUGCAAGUCGAACGAUGUAGCAAUACAUAGUGGCGCACGGGUGAGUAACGCGUGGGAAUAUACCUUAUAGUGGGGAAUAACUUUGGGAAACUAAAGCUAAUACCGCAUACGCCCGAGAGGGGAAAGAUUUAUCGCUAUAAGAUUAGCCCGCGUGAGAUUAGGUAGUUGGUGGGGUAAUGGCCUACCAAGCCUACGAUCUCUAGCUGGUCUGAGAGGAUGAUCAGCCACACUGGAACUGAGCCACGGUCCAGACUCCUACGGGAGGCAGCAGUGGGGAAUAUUGGGCAAUGGGCGCAAGCCUGAUCCAGCCAUGCCGCGUGAGUGAUGAAGGUCUUAGGAUUGUAAAGCUCUUUCACCGAUGAAGAUAAUGACGGUAGUCGGAGAAGAAGCCCCGGCUAACUUCGUGCCAGCAGCCGCGGUAAAGUGACUACUG
rnacentral:rRNA from 1 species